CUACUUACCUGGCAGGGGAGUCAGUGGUCACGGAGGCCAAUCUCCCUGGAUGAGGCUAUCCUAUUGCACUACGGGCAUGCUGAUGCCUGCGAUGUUCCACAAUGUGGGAAACUCGACUGCAAAAAUUGUGGUAGUGGGUGUCUGCAAUCAUGCUAAG